rnacentral:rRNA from 1 species
ACGCUAGCUACAGGCUUAACACAUGCAAGUCGAGGGGCAGCAUGAACUUAGCUUGCUAAGUUUGAUGGCGACCGGCGCACGGGUGAGUAACACGUAUCCAACCUGCCGAUGACUCGGGGAUAACCUUUCGAAAGAAAGAUUAAUACCCGAUGGCAUAGUUCUUCCGCAUGGUAGAACUAUUAAAGAAUUUCGGUCAUCGAUGGGGAUGCGUUCCAUUAGGUUGUUGACGGGGUAACGGCCCACCAAGCCUUCGAUGGAUAGGGGUUCUGAGAGGAAGGUCCCCCACAUUGGAACUGAGACACGGUCCAAACUCCUACGGGAGGCAGCAGUGAGGAAUAUUGGUCAAUGGACGAGAGUCUGAACCAGCCAAGUAGCGUGAAGGAUGACUGCCCUAUGGGUUGUAAACUUCUUUUAUACGGGAAUAAAGUGAGGCACGUGUGCCUUUUUGUAUGUACCGUAUGAAUAAGGAUCGGCUAACUCCGUGCCAGCAGCCGCGGUAAUACGGAGGAUCCGAGCGUUAUCCGGAUUUAUUGGGUUUAAAGGGAGCGUAGGCGGACGCUUAAGUCAGUUGUGAAAGUUUGCGGCUCAACCGUAAAAUUGCAGUUGAUACUGGGUGUCUUGAGUACAGUAGAGGCAGGCGGAAUUCGUGGUGUAGCGGUGAAAUGCUUAGAUAUCACGAAGAACUCCGAUUG